GUUGAUGUAUGCCACAAACCAUCACAAUAUUGUAAUCAUCCUUCAGUUAAAAAAAAAAAAAAAAAAAGAACCACAUUCAAUGCCACUGGCUGGAACUCCAGAGGAUGAGAGUUCCUUACUAGCAAGGCAGUAAACACUUGAAAUACUUGGCUACAUCUCUACUUAAGCCAGGCUGAAGCAGGUAAUGCCUACAUACCUAGUCAAUCUUCUUCAGGUUGUGUCCUAAAAGAAGGAUAGUUGAACUCCAAAGAAACCCACAGCCAGAUUUCAAGGCCAUCUAUCCUACCAGAGAAGACUCCAGCUGUCUCAGGUAAGGUCCUGAACAGGUAGUGUUCCAGUAAUCAAAUGCUAUCCUAAACCAACUACCUAAAACCUAGUGGAUUAAAAGACCAACCAUAUUUUUUCUAUUCACGAAUCUGCAAUGGACAGAGAUCAAUGGAGACAGCUCAUCUCAGCACCAACUGGUACAGCUCAGAGGCUGGCACUGAAGUCACUGAGGGCCUCUUCACUUACAUGACUGGUGAUUAAUACUAGCUGAGGGCUGGAACUUUAGCUAUGGCUGCCAGUCAGAAUACCUAUAUGUGACCUUCUCAUGUGCCCAGGGCUUCCUCACAAAAUGGUAGCUGGGUUCCAAAGGUGAGCAUUCUUAAAGAAAGUUUCAGUUAGAAGUUGGAUUGCCUCUUAUGACAACUUUAGAAAUCACUUAACCUCACUGUUGUGCAUUGAACUGUGUCCCUUCAAAAGACAUGUUCAAGUUCUAACCCCCAGUACCUGUGAAUGUGACGUUACUGGGAAAUUGGGUCUUUGCAGAGGCAAUAAAAUUAAAAUGAGCUCAUAUUAGAUUAGGUUAGGCCCUAAUCCAGUGACUUGUGCCCUUAGAAGAAGAGGGGGAUUUGGAGAUGGGACACAUAAGGAAGAAUGUUUUAUAUAACAACAGCAGAGAAUGAAAUUAUGUACCUACCAACUAAAGAAUGCCAACGAUCUCUGGCAAACACCAGAAGCUAAGAGGCAUGGACAGAUUUUCCCUUGUGUUAGUCUCUCAGUCAUGUCUGACUCUGCAAUCGCAUGGACGGUAGCCCAUCAGAUUCCUCUGUCCAUGGGAUUUCCCAGGCAAGACUACUGGAAGGGGCAGCCAUUUCCUUUUCCAGGCGAUCUUCCCAACCCAGGGACUGAACCCAGGUCUCCUGAACUGCAGGCAGAUUCUUUAUCAUCUGAGCCACCAGGGAAGCCCAGAUUUUCCCUCAGAGCUCUCCAAAAAACUCAAUCUUGCUGACAUCUUUGUUUCAGACUUCCAGCCCAUAAGAGAAUAAAUUUCUGUUGUUUAAACCAUCCAGGUACUUUGUUAUGGCAGCCCUAAGAAAGUAAUACAAUCACAUCUGCUGCAUUCUAUGCACUGAGACAGCCACAAAGUCCCACCCAACGGAAAGACAAGAGUUGGGGAGGAGGAGUUGGGCAUCUCUCCGAGACAAUUCUCUCCAUUCGGGACACUAGCACCCUCAGUAUAGAAAUCCUGUCUGACUGUUCUACCACUUGGGUGUGUAUGAAGAUAACAAAAACAAGACCACAGUCCCACUUGACACCUCGAUUACAGCCUGAGGCUGAGGUACCCAGGUCACUUUUUCAUUCUGUUAUCGCCCUUCAAUUUAUCUGCUGAAGAACGCAAGGCAUUUGACAUGUAGCGUUUCCCACAAUACAGGUUUUCCUAAAUAUAUGUCCAUGGUGAAGUUCAACAUGUUCCUCUGUUCUAUUUCCUAUAAAAUAGGAAACUGAUCAAUUCUUUUGGAAAGACUAUAGAUAGUGAUUGGAGAAGGCAAUGGCAC
ensembl:lncRNA